GAUGAACGCUGGCGGCGUGCCUAAUACAUGCAAGUCGAGCGAACAGACGAGGAGCUUGCUCCUCUGACGUUAGCGGCGGACGGGCGAGUAACACGUGGAUAACCUACCUAUAAGACUGAGAUAACUUCGGGAAACCGGAGCUAAUACCGGAUAAUAUAUUGAACCGCAUGGUUCAAUAGUGAAAGACGGUUUUGCUGUCACUUAUAGAUGGAUCCGCGCCGCAUUAGCUAGUUGGUAAGGUAACGGCUUACCAAGGCAACGAUGCGUAGCCGACCUGAGAGGGUGAUCGGCCACACUGGAACUGAGACACGGUCCAGACUCCUACGGGAGGCAGCAGUAGGGAAUCUUCCGCAAUGGGCGAAAGCCUGACGGAGCAACGCCGCGUGAGUGAUGAAGGUCUUCGGAUCGUAAAACUCUGUUAUUAGGGAAGAACAAAUGUGUAAGUAACUAUGCACGUCUUGACGGUACCUAAUCAGAAAGCCACGGCUAACUACGUG
rnacentral:rRNA from 1 species